rnacentral:rRNA from 1 species
UCGAGAAUUUUUCUCAAUGGGGGAAACCCUGAAGGAGCGACGCCGCGUGGAGGAUGAAGGUCUUCGGAUUGUAAACUCCUGUCAUUAGGGAACAAGUGCGUGCGAUUAACUGUCGUGCGUUUGAUAGUACCUGAAGAGGAAGAGACGGCUAACUCUGUGCCAGCAGCCGCGGUAAUACAGAGGUCUCAAGCGUUGUUCGGAUUCAUUGGGCGUAAAGGGUGCGUAGGCGGCGGGGCAAGUCAGAUGUGAAAUCUCGGGGCUCAACCCCGAAACUGCAUUUGAUACUGCCUUGCUAGAGUAUUGGAGAGGAGAUUGGAAUUUACGGUGUAGCAGUGAAAUGCGUAGAUAUCGUAAGGAAGACCAGUGGCGAAGGCGAAUCUCUGGACAAUGACUGACGCUGAGGCACGAAGGCCAGGGGAGCAAACGGGAUUAGAUACCCCGGUAGUCC